GACGAACGCUGGCGGCGUGCCUAACACAUGCAAGUCGAGCGGGGAUUUAAGUGGAAGUUCUUCGGAGUGGAGAUUUAAAUUCUAGCGGCGGACGGGUGAGUAACGCGUGAACAAUCUGUCCCGGACAGGGGGAUAACACUUGGAAACAGGUGCUAAUACCGCAUAAGACCACGGCCUCGCAUGGGGCUGAGGUAAAAGGAGCAAUCCGGUUCGGGGUGAGUUCGCGUCCGAUUAGCUAGUUGGUGAGGUAACGGCCCACCAAGGCGACGAUCGGUAGCCGGCCUGAGAGGGUGAACGGCCACAUUGGAACUGAGAGACGGUCCAAACUCCUACGGGAGGCAGCAGUGGGGAAUAUUGGGCAAUGGGCGAAAGCCUGACCCAGCAACGCCGCGUGAGGGAAGAAGGUUUUCGGAUUGUAAACCUCUGUCCUAUGGGACGAAGGAAGUGACGGUACCAUAGGAGGAAGCCCCGGCUAACUACGUG
rnacentral:rRNA from 1 species